rnacentral:rRNA from 1 species
ACGAACGCUGGCGGCGUGCUUCACACAUGCCAGUCGAACGGAAAGGCCCUGCUUUUGUGGGGUGCUCGAGUGGCGAACGGGUGAGUAACACGUGAGUAACCUGCCCUUGACUUUGGGAUAACUUCAGGAAACUGGGGCUAAUACCGGAUAGGAGCUCCUGCUGCAUGGUGGGGGUUGGAAAGUUUCGGCGGUUGGGGAUGGACUCGCGGCUUAUCAGCCUGUUGGUGGGGUAGUGGCUUACCAAGGCUUUGACGGGUAGCCGGCCUGAGAGGGUGACCGGCCACAUUGGGACUGAGAUACGGCCCAGACUCCUACGGGAGGCAGCAGUGGGGAAUAUUGCACAAUGGGCGGAAGCCUGAUGCAGCAACGCCGCGUGCGGGAUGACGGCCUUCGGGUUGUAAACCGCUUUCGCCUGUGACGAAGCGUGAGUGACGGUAAUGGGUAAAGAAGCACCGGCUAACUACGUG